GAUGAACGCUGGCGGCGUGCCUAAUACAUGCAAGUCGAGCGAACGGACGAGAAGCUUGCUUCUCUGAUGUUAGCGGCGGACGGGGGAGUAACACGUGGAUAACCUACCUAUAAGACUGGGAUAACUUCGGGAAACCGGAGCUAAUACCGGAUAAUAUUUUGAACCGCAUGGUUCAAAAGUGAAAGACGGUCUUGCUGUCACUUAUAGAUGGAUCCGCGCUGCAUUAGCCAGUUGGUGAGGUAACGGCUUACCAAGGCAACGAUGCAUAGCCGACCUGAGAGGGUGAUCGGCCACACUGGAACUGAGACACGGUCCAGACUCCUACGGGAGGCAGCAGUAGGGAAUCUUCCGCAAUGGGCGAAAGCCUGACGGAGAAACGCCGCGUGAGUGAUGAAGGUCUUCGGAUCGUAAAACUCUGUUAUUAGGGAAGAACAUAUGUGUAAGUAACUGUGCACAUCUUGACGGUACCUAAUCAGAAAGCCACGGCUAACUACGUG
rnacentral:rRNA from 1 species